rnacentral:rRNA from 1 species
CCUACGGGAGGCAGCAGUGAGGAAUAUUGGUCAAUGGACGAGAGUCUGAACCAGCCAAGUAGCGUGAAGGAUGACUGCUCUAUGGGUUGUAAACUUCUUUUAUAAAGGAAUAAAACGAGGCACGCGUGCCUUUCUGCAUGUAUAUUACGAAUAAGGAUCGGCUAACUCCGUGCCAGCAGCCGCGGUAAUACGGAGGAUUCGAGCGUUAUCCGGAUUUAUUGGGUUUAAAGGGAGCGUAGAUGGGGUAAUAAGUCAGUUGUGAAAGUAUGUGGCUCAACUGUAAAAUUGCAAUUGAUACUGGCAGUCUUGAGUGUAGUAGAGGUAGGCGGAAUUCGUGGUGUAGCGGUAAAAUGCGUAGAGAUCACGAGGAACACGGAUUGCGAAGGCGACUUGCUGGACUGUGACUGACGUUGAUGCACGAAAGUGUGGGUAUCAAACAGGAUUAGAUACCCCGGUAGUC